rnacentral:rRNA from 1 species
UGGGGAAUAUUGGACAAUGGGGGCAACCCUGAUCCAGCAAUGCCGCGUGUGUGAAGAAGGUCUUCGGAUUGUAAAGCACUUUCGACGGGGACGAUGAUGACGGUACCCGUAGAAGAAGCCCCGGCUAACUUCGUGCCAGCAGCCGCGGUAAUACGAAGGGGGCUAGCGUUGCUCGGAAUGACUGGGCGUAAAGGGCGUGUAGGCGGUUUACACAGUCAGAUGUGAAAUCCCCGGGCUUAACCUGGGAGCUGCAUUUGAUACGUGUAGACUAGAGUGUGAGAGAGGGUUGUGGAAUUCCCAGUGUAGAGGUGAAAUUCGUAGAUAUUGGGAAGAACACCGGUGGCGAAGGCGGCAACCUGGCUCAUGACUGACGCUGAGGCGCGAAAGCGUGGGGAGCAAACAGGAUUAGAUACCCUGGUAGUCCACGCUGUAAAACGAUGUGUGCUAGAUGUUGGGUAACUUUGUUAUUCAGUGUCGCAGUUAA